rnacentral:rRNA from 1 species
AGCAGCCGCGGUAAUUCCAGCUCCAAUAGCGUAUAUUAAAGUUGUUGCAGUUAAAAAGCUCGUAGUUGAAUUUCGGGACUAAUAUGUCGGUCGUGCCUCGGUACGUACUGGUUUAUUGGUUUCUCCUUUCUGAAGAACCAUGAUGUCAUUUAUUUGGUGUCGUGGGGAAUCAGGACUGUUACUUUGAAAAAUUAGAGUGUUUAAAGCAGGCUCACGCUUGAAUACAUUAGCAUGGAAUAAUGAAUAGGACGUUUGAUCCUAUUUUGUUGGUUUCUAGGAUUGACGUAAUGAUUAAUAGGGAUAGUUGGGGCAUUAGUAUUCAAUUGUCAGAGGUGAAAUUCUUGGAUUUAUUGAAGACUAACUACUGCGAAAGCAUUUGUCCAAGGAUGUUUUCAUUAAUCAAGAACGAAAGUUAGGGGAUCGAAGACGAUCAGAUACCGUCGUAGU